UGAAUACGAGAUGCUACGGCGUCGAAGCAGUCUAUGUCAUACUUCCAAGAAAAGCUCGCACUGUCAUAAACAAAUAAUGCCUGUACCAUAACCGACACAGGUGGGUAGGUAGAGUAUACUAAGGGGCGCGAGAUAACUCUCUCUAAGGAACUCGGCAAAAUGACUCCGUAACUUCGGGAGAAGGAGUGCCUUAUUUAUAAGGUUGCAAUAACAAGAUCCAAGCAACUGUUUAUCAAAAACACAGGUCUCCGCUAAGUCGUAAGACGAUGUAUGGGGGCUGACGCCUGCCCAGUGCCAGAAGGUUAAAGAAGUUGGUUAGCAUUCGCGAAGCUGAUAACUGAAGCCCUGGUGAACGGCGGCCGUAACAAUAACGGCCCUAAGGUAGCGAAAUUCCUUGUCGGGUAAGUUCCGACCCGCACGAAAGGCGUAAUGAUUUGGAUACUGUCUCGGAGAGGGGCUCGGUGAAAUAGACUUGUCUGUGAAGAUGCGGACUACCUGCACCAGGACAGAAAGACCCUAUGAAGCUUUACUGUAACUUGAGAUUGAAAUUGGACUUUACUUGCGCAGUAUAGGUGGGAGGCGUUGAUAAUAUUCUUGCGGGAUUAUUUGAGCCAUCAGUGAGAUACCACUCUUGUAAUGUUAGAUUUCUAACUUUGUAUCAUUAUCUGGUCAAAGGACAGUUUCAGGCGGGCAGUUUGACUGGGGCGGUCGCCUCCUAAACGGUAACGGAGGCGCACAAAGGUUUCCUCUGAACGGGUAGAAAUCGUAUCUAGAGUGUAAAGGCAUAAGGAAGCUUGACUGUGAGACCUACAAGUCGAGCAGGGACGAAAGUCGGUCUUAGUGAUCUGACGGUGCUGAGUAGAAAGGCCGUCACUCAACGGAUAAAAGUUACUCUAAGGAUAACAGGCUGAUCUCCCCCAAGAGUUCACAUCGACGGGGAGGUUUGGCACCUCGAUGUCGGCUCAUCGCAUCCUGGGGCGGUAGUACGUCCCAAGGGUUGGGCUGUUCGCCCAUGAAAGCGGUACGCGAGCUGGGUUCAGAACGUCGUGAGACAGUUCGGUCCAUAUCCGGUGUAGGCGUUAGAAUAUUGAGAGGAGCCUUCUUUAGUACGAGAGGACCGAGAAGGACAUACCUCUGGUGUACCAGUUAUCGUGCCAACGGUAAACGCUGGGUAGCUAUGUAUGGAGUGGAUAACCGCUGAAAGCAUCUAAGUGGGAAGCCCACCUCAAGAUAAGUAUUC
rnacentral:rRNA from 1 species